rnacentral:lncRNA from 1 species
CUGCAAUGUGAAAAGUGAUACUAAUUUCAUAAAACAAUCUUUAGGAACCCAAACAUUCAAAAAGGAAAAAAAGAAACCACUGGUAAGCACAGAAGAAAACCAUGCUUGGUCCAAGCCAAUCCGUAUGUACCACGAACAUAACAUAAACACUGCAAAUGGCAGUUUUUUUCCAUGUACAUCAGAUUCAUCAUAUUUCAGGUUAAAAAAUUAUGCUGUUUAUAACAGUAAAUAUAGCAGUUAGCUGACAUUUUCAAUGUCAGACAUAACCAUUAUAACAGUAUAUAUAUAGUAUGUCCAUAGUGCCAACAUCACACACUGCCUUGAGCAUCCUUGUGAGAGCAAAAAUAAGCUCUGAUACAGGUGAUGCCAUUGCUGCCUUACUUCUAAAACUUAGUUAAAGCUCUCAUACGGAUAAACUCUCUCCCUCUAUGGCUGUACAGGUGUUGGGACUGUUAGGAGAGGAAAGGAGGGGGGGGGGGGGGGGAGGUGAGAGAGAGAGAGGAGAGAGAAACCAUGUCUAAUUCUGUUCAAGUUCCUUAUGGAUCCCUGACAAGUUUCCAAACCAACGAAUAUGUUUAGUAAUUGGGGGAGAUAUGAAAAUUGAAGAAUAUAAUUACAGAAAUGCUCCCAAGAAAGAAAUGGCGACAAAUGCUGCAAUCAACAAGACCGAGUGUAACACAUAGCAGGGAGUUUCAACAUAAACAAAUGUUGAGAAGCUAACCCCCUCCCCAACAAAUAUAUUACACCCAAAAAGUUAAAAACAAGCAAGGGAGAGAGUAUUUCGUACCAUCAGUUCGUACCCUAGGUCUUGAAAGCCACAUUUUCCUCCAUGAACCUUCAUAUUUUGACUGCAGAAUCUUAUAAUUCUCCACUACUCCAGAGAGCUUCAUAAAAGAUGCAGCAGUUUUAAAGCUUCAGUAAUUUACACACAACAGCCUAAUAAAAGGUUCAUUAGCAAUGCCAAAUUUACCUGCCAAGCCUUUAAGCAUGCACUCCGCCAAAAUACAGGGUUACGAAUUGAGUACCUCCACUUUCGACAAACACAUGAUGCCCUUCCUAAAUCAUAUGGAGUCAUCCGUACAAAGACCUGUACAUUCAUUUCCAUGAUUACUCUCUAAAUUACAGCACUAAAUACAAAACAUAUUGUUUUUUUUUCUUCUUUUAUAUUAGAAAUUAUAUUGCUCUUCAUUUAAAGAAGCCGCAUUCUAGCUAUUCAUAGGCUGAAAAACUGAUAUUUUGGCAUUACAAUUAGAAUAUUCAGCACUUAAGCUAAAGUGUUUCCCAAGUUUAAGCAAUCAGAAAAUAAACUUCAAACAAAAGUCUGUUUAUCAAUCAAAUCAAAAUCAACUGUUUCAAAUCAUAUUUUCCGCAUUCCUUUUUUCCAAAUGGACAAUAAACAAUCACGAGAAGCUACCAAACUAAGGUUAUUAAUAUACUAUCUUUGCUCAAAAAAAAAAAAAUCCGGCAAUGCUUUACAAUACCUCAAAAAGCAGCUCAUCGGGCAAGCAACGAUGGAGAAGUGCAGGAUCAACAUAUGCUCUUCUGCUGACGCUUCCAUAAGGGGCAACUGGUCUAACAUUUUUUCCAUAAAGAUCUGAAAUUUAAAAAUAAGAAAAAAUUAAGAAGACGAAGUGCUUUAAACUGAAAAUUAAGCUAAAAUUGUUUAUUUUUUCUAAAAAAAGUUGAAUUAAAGGCAAACAUGAAAAAAGUAUAAUUAAAAAAAACGAAAUGAAAAGAAAGAACAAAAAAUACAUAAAUACCAAGCCAAGGCCUUUGCGUUACAAAGUACUGUACGGUCUUCAACCGCAAAGCUGAUUCUAGUUCCGCAGGAACUGUUAAGGCAAAGUCUGCAAAUUAAGGCCAUUAAUCAAUUAAUAAUGAUAAAAUGAAACAAAAAAAAAGGAUAACAAAGACAAAACGCGGUGAAAUUAAUCCAUAAAAACAAAAUAAAAUUGAAGCUUAAAACUUUCACCUAAGGAAGUUUUUCUUCUGAAUUCUUGGAACUAAACGAAUUCGAAAUUGAUAGUUAAUGAAUUCGAAGAAAAUUUUAUUGGAACAGUAUUCAUAGAAUCGCCGGAAGCAAAGAAAAAGUGAUAUUGGAAUUUAAAACUAAAGAAUUUAAUUAAAUAUAUACCUGAAUUCAUGGGAAUCGAAUAAACUUGGAUUUAAAUUCUUAAUCUCUUUCGUUUUUUCCCCUUUCUUUCUACGAUUUUCAAGACAAAAUAGAAGGAAAUCUUCUUUUUUUCUUUUUUUUUUAUAAUUAAAGAAAGACAAAUUUGUGAUCGAAAAAUGCUGACUGAUGAACUGAAUGACCCAAUCAGAAUUAACGACAACACUUUAAAGACGGUGCGUUUUAACUGACGCGGGCAUAACUGGUAAAUAAAUUGUUAGUUAUCCAUGGUCCGGACUGGAUGGGCCUCCCCAAUCUCAUCGAACCCAUUCCUUAUUCUGAUCGAGCUUAGACAGCCCUUUUGCAAAAAUUGUAAAAAGUGGGCCUAGAUUACAGGUAAAGCUAGUUUUUGCGUAAACAAAAUUAAAUUUUAUGUGUGUAUAUUGUAUAUAUAAGAGAAAAUAAAAUGAGAAGUAAUUGGGAUUUGAUUAUCUUAAAAAAUUAACAUUAAAUUAAGAACAUCUUCUCAUUAAUCCUUGCUUUUUUAAACUUUCCUUCUUUUUUCUCCCUUCCUUUUUUUAUCUAUAUUAUAUUUUGUUUUCUAAGUGUAUAAUUUUUUAAUUUGGAAAAUGAAAGAUUUUAAUCUAAAAUUUAAAAUAAAUUAAAAAAUAAAUACAUUUAUUAUUAAAUAAAAUAUUUAAAUAUAUUUAUAAUUUUAUUUUUACAAGUAUAACAGAUUCAAUAAUGGCUUUAUAAAAGAUAAAAGCGUAGUCAAUAUAGUUGCAUAUGUAUGUUUUUUUCUUAGAGGAAGAGAUUAUAUUUACAUAUCAUUAUGUCAUGAUCCUUAUAUAUUUUUGUUCGGGUUCAUAUUUAUACAUUAUCAAUAUAAAAUACCUAUACAUUAUCAAUGAACUAAGGGCACAUUAAUUUGGCUAUUCCUAAGUUCCCUUUGAUUCAUUUUGAAUUAAGAAAUAAUUAUUCUUAAGAAUAAUCAUUAUCUAAAAAUACGAAAUAAUUAAUACCAACCUUUCCAUGACAUUAGCCAUUCCAAUUCAUGGAAUAAAGUUCAAAUCCUUAUGGAUAAAAAUGACCUUACUUGUUAUGUGAAAUUACUAAUUUUACCAUAUAAAAUAUCAUAUUAAUAUUUUAAUAAAAAAUAUUAAACUAAUAAUAUUUUAAUAAAAAGGAAAAAUGAAAAUAGAGAAAAAUAAAAAGAAAUUAACAUAGAACAUUAUACUAAUAUUUUAACAAUAAAUUAUUACAUUAUUGAUAUUUUAUUAGAAAAAGGAAUUAAAAGAGAAAAAUUGGAAAAAUGAAAAUAGAGAAAAAAAUUAAAAAAAUAUUAAUAUUAAACUUUAAUAUUUUAAUGAUUAUAUAUUAAAUUAUUAUUUAACAAUAACAAUGCCAGGAAUAAUAAGUUUCAAAAACCUCAAAAUUUUUAUUAAAUUAUAUCAAGAAAUAGAUGAAAGAAAAAGGAAUGAUUAUUCCUGUGUAAAUGAGGUUAAGGAUGCAGCAUUUUUUUUGAAGACUGAAGUACAACACAAAGGCAAUGAGAGCACACGUGAUAAGCAUGUGAGGCAAUUAAACUAACAGUCGCUGUAUAUAUUAUCUUUUUCCUUUUGAAAAAUAGAUAUUAUAGAUGAAAACAAAACAAUUUACAUCAUUUUAGAUUAAGCUAUGGCGUGAUAGUUUGUAAAUAAAUAUGAAUCAAUGCUAUUGGGAGAAAAAUAAAAAAUGUGUAAAUCUAAAAUUAGAUGAUCAUAUUGUAUAGUCAUUCCAUCUAACACAUAAUACAUUGAUUAACUUCAGGAUAAAUAGACGUAAAAAAUAAAUAUUUAAGCUUAAUAAAGUGCUCUGAAUUGGAAUUUUUAUAAAGUCAAAUAAAGAAUCAACUCGACCUAGAAUCUCCAAGCCACUCUGUAUUCUGUUCUCUACUCUCUCCGUCUUGCCUCUACCUUCACCUUCGACCUAGAAUCUCAAAGCCGCAGUAUAUUCUGUUCUCUGCUCUUCUCUCCUUUCUUUAUCUCCACCUUCACCUUCGACCUAGAAUCUACAAGCCACUAUGUAUUCUGUUCUCUACUCUCUCUGUCUUUACCUCUACCUUCACCUUCGACCUAAAAUCUCAAAGCCGCAAUAUAUUCUGUUCUCUGCUCUUCUCUCCUUUCUUUACCUCCACCUUCACCUUCGACCUAGAAUCUCAAAGCCGCAAUAUAUUCUGUUCUCUGCUCUCUCCUUUCUUUACCUUUACCUUACCUUUAUUAUUCACUCACAUUAUUAAACAAAUUAUAGAAAUGAGAAAAUUCUUAGUAAAGUGAGAAAAGUCAAAGAACAGCAAUCCGAAGUAGAAAGGAAAUUUGCGCAGACAAAAAGCAUCGCCAUCUGUAGAUAAUAUACUCUUAGCAAAGAAAGGGAAACCGUAGAUUGAAACAUGAAUCAAUGUAUUCAAGGGCUGAGGAGAUACCUGAAUAAGCCCUUGAAUACAUUGGAAAAGUGUUUAUUAGAUGUACUGAGCAAACAAUGUGGCCACUUGGCAGUGCAUAUAUAUACACCCAAUCAUCAUAGAAAUUGAUCAAGUGAGGCUCUAGCGCAACUUCACUGAAACAGAGAUGGAGAACAAUCAAUCAAGCAUUGAUCUUGGGUCUGAAAGGUAGAUUAGAAUCUUAGAAGUUUAUAAUCCAUGGAUUUUUCUCUUGAUUAUUAUCAAUUAAUUUCAUAUUCUUGUUUGCAGUAAACAAGGAGUCGGUCACUCUACUAUAAUCCAAGCUGCCAUCGGCUCUCUCGUAGUUAUACUGCUCACCACCAUUCAAGUUUUGUAUCAAAACGACGAUAAGUCUCCCUUCAAAACGCACGCUCUGAUAAUGAAGAUUUUCAUCGUCUUUGCCUUCACCUACACUUCACUGACGGUGGCUGUAAUAGCCCUACAAUCCCAUUGCACGAGCUACCUUCCUCUACUGAACCAUAUCGGUUUCGUUUUGGGAGCUCUCGUCUGCGACUUCCUUCUCUUGAUACUCCUCCCUCCAUUUGGCUACUUUGUCUUGCUUUUAUGCAUCCUCAUGCUUCUAAUAAUAUUACUCAAAUCGUAUCAGCAGAUAUUUAAGUUGUUACGCAGUGUAGCUACGCUAGAGUCAAACAGAGCGGGGGACUUGCUUCAUAACAUUUAUGGGUGUACAUGCGCAAUGUGUCUAAGGAUUCAACUUUCCCUCCCACGCAGUACCAUUGGGUCCCGGGAUCAGGGCCACCUUGAUUAUGACCUUGAACUGAAUGAAGCAACAAACUAAUAGCUUCUGGUGGAAUGCAAAUCCGUCUGCCCUUUUUAUAAGAUUAUGCCAUGCCCAUAGGACUUAAUGGCAGUCUUUGUUUGUCAAGUCUCUUCUUUUUCCCGUCCUGAUGUUUUCCCUCGUUUACUCUCCAGCCUUUAUUCUUUGCUUAUUCUUCUGUGGUGGCGGAGUUUUAGACGACGGGAGUUUUGACUUUCGCCUGAGUUUUUAACCGACGAGUAGUUCAUGGAGAAGAGUAAAGCUAAGAACAAUCCCAAGUAUCCCAAAAAUGGCUCUGUAUUAAAGCUUGACGGUUCCAAGUCAUUGUUUCCGUACGAGUUUCCUUACAGGUUUUGGGUCUUUUGGAUUCUCCUCGGAUCUAAGUUCUCAGUCCGCUAUGAGUUCUACCGAAACAGAGAAUGACAAAGAAGAUCAUCUUUAAUAUCUUCCGCCUGAGUUUUUAACCAACGACCACUAGUUCAUGGAGAAGAGUAAAGCUGAGAACAAUCCCAUGAAUCCCAAAGAUGGUUUUAGAUUAGAGCUUCGCGUUUCCACGUCUUUGUUUCCGUACAAGUUUUUAAGGGAUACAAAUUACUAAUAAAUUUUUGUGGGUAGGCAAUUUGCACUCCUUGUGGUGACUCCAAAUAAAAAAGAAGAAAACUAUGCAAGUUUUCAUUUCACUAAUUGGGUUAUCACAGUCCUUCAAAAGCUACCACUGCACUUUUCUCCUUCUCUGUCUCUCCUUUUCUCAUGUUAAUGUCCUUUCUAUUUACUUCUAAAAUUUCCUUUGAAAGCUAUUGGACUUUUGAGGUGAAAGUGGAAACUAAGUAGGCAAAUCACUGGAGCUGUCAUUUGAUUUUUGUUUCUAUACAAAUGAAUAAGUAGCUUCAAUCUAAUAAACCAAAAGGGUUUAAUGCACUCCUGAACAUUUUCAAAAUUGACAGAGGAGGUAAAUGGUAAUUUUCAUUAAGCCCAAGACAGUCAUGGCUGGCACAGAUCAAUUGAUAUCAUGCACAAGGAAGAAAGCUUGUCAACCAUUAUACAAAAAACCAACAGAAUGAGUCUUCUUGUUCUUGGAGCAAUAGAAGAAACUAUUCCAUUCAAAAAGAACCAGUUACAUAUUAGAGACUAACAUGAUCAUGAGAUGCAAAUACAUAUAGCAAUAGAACAACACAUAUUGAAGUACCAGAAUUGAAGUUUUGAACAGAACAUCAAAGAUUUUCUCUUUUGUGGAACUCCAUGACCCAGCUGUUAUAAACACAGCAGAUGACUUCACAGCCAGAGAAGCCGGUUCUUAAAGCCAAGGCUUCAUAUUCUUUUCGGGUUCUCUCUUUGCCCCCAGGGCUUUGAGCUAACAUCAAUAGAUCUUGCUCACAAACAAUGUUGGAAGAAACACUGCUAUCAGGAGCCUCAGGGAGGAUUGAUUCCACAAUGAUUACUUUGCCACCAUUAGGGAGAGCUUCCCAGCAGUUCUUGAGAAGCUUCAAGCAAUGCUCAUAACUCCAAUCAUGGAGUAUCCACUGCAGGUUUUAUCAACAAACAACAUAGCAAAACUUACCAACAAAUCUUUUGAAGAAAUAUGGUGGUAGAUAUUCACUUGGAGUUGUAGAUUUCCUCAAGUUAUAUUGAUGGGGAGUUCAGAAAAUAAAACUAAGAAAAGGAAACAAAUUUGCUUUGGAUGUAGUUAAGCUCAUUUCUAUAGACUUAUAGCUAGUUAGUCCGCUUUUCAACCUUCUAAAUUCAUCAAUUACGACCGAAAAUACAACUGAACUAGCUAAAUAUACAGAAAAAGGUGCUCCAUUUAGUUUUCUAUAUGAAAUAAAGCUUUACCUUCAUGAAAAUGGCAUCACCUUUUGGAACACUUUCAAACAUAUCUCCUCCAACAUGCUCCACACCUUUUGCAGAAAGUAGUAAGACAUGAACUCGAUUACUGCCAACCUUUAGACUAUACAUAAUUAAAUGAACUUGAAUUAAAAAGAAACAGACAUUGUUCUGCAGUUUCAAGUACUUUGUGUUAGGGUAUGUGCAGAGAGACAAAACAAAAAAAAUGUGCCAACUAAGAAAACGCUUUAAAUUAGUCAGUGAAGAGAUAUGAACAGGGCAACCAAAUUGGAUUACCAAUUAUCCCAUCAUUUUAUAGAAAUUUCACAGUGGUCAAGUCAAGUAGGUAAAAAGGGAGCCACAUAGUACCUGAAUAAGUUGGUGCAUCAGCCAAAACAUGAGGCAGAUCAAAAUUGAUAGCCUUGAUAUGAGGAUACUUAGAAGUAAUGAUACCGAGAGCAACUCCAAUUCCACCACCAACAUCAACCAACACUUCCACCUCAUCAAACCCUUUGUAAACAUCAAGAAUCUUCCUCAUGAUCAAAGUAGUGUGAUUGGACAUAGCCUGGUUACAUACCCUGUUGAACCUUAGAUCUGUUCCUGGAUACUCAAAUGCUGUCAUCCCAUAUGCCCUGUUAAAAGGAUUCCCUCCUUCUAGUAUAACAUCAUUUAAAUGGUACCUGAAAUCAAACAAAAUAAGUUAUCAAAACCCAUAAAUGUUAAGUGAUGUUAUCUCACAUCUACUUUGAGUCUAUCAUAGCUUUUAUAAUCCCAGUUGAUAGAGUUAAUUUGAAUUAACUUUUGCUUCAGUUUGUUAGAAUUACCCUUGCACAGGGAAGUGUUAACUGUUAAGUGGUGUUAUCAGUAUAUUUAGAAUUUUGCUUUGACCUUACAUAACAAUAAAUAAACUUGAAUUUUUGAAGAUAACGAAAUUUUUGUUAAGACAAAAAUUGGCAAAGAUUAUGAAAAAUACCAGCUUUCCAUGAAGACGUUGUCAUGGUGCAACAAAAACAGAGGAGCAACAGACCCUUCAUCCUGAUUCUUAACUAUGAACUUGCAUAAGGGCCCUGCACCGUAGAGUCUCUCAACUUCUCCGCUUUCCUUUGUUCUUACCGAGCACUUAAGAAUGGAAUAGCUAGCCAACAGGCGUAGCAUUCGAUCUAGUAGCAGAGAUGCUUCAGGAUUCUUGGUGGGAAGGCCACUCGCGAUCUGGGAAGGUGACAGAUACGUGCCGUCACCAGCGGCGGAGAUUGUGUCGAUGAUGUUCAGCUCCAGGGCUGAUUUUAAUACCAUGGGAAGAACAACGGCGUUGGCUAGCCGGACGGCUAGCUUGCCAAGUUCUUGGUCUUGAUCUUCCUGGGACAUGGAUUGCUGUGGGUCGCUGUUCCUGAAUUGAUUACUUUGCGACAAAGUGUUGAUUCUCCCAACAUCCAGUCAAGAUUGAAUUUGAACCACUAACAUUAAAUAGCAGAGUGACGGGUUGUAUUAAUUGUUUUUUUUUUUUUGUAUAUUCAUUUUUAAAGUGCUUUAUAAUAAAUUAUAACAUGCUUAAAAAGUGUUAUUUUCAGCUGAAUUAAGCUUGAACUUAAACAAGCAUGCUCAAAUGUCAAAUCUACGUAGCCUUCUACGCAAAAUUUUUUGCUAUCCAAGUUCAAAUUGCAAAUUUUUUCUUUCGUAUAUAAGUUUAAGAUCAAAUUGAGUUUCAUUAAGGAUUAAACAAGCAAAGUCGAAAUAAUUAAAAGCCAUUUCGACAUCCCUUUAGUUUUGUUAAUAGUUAUUUCUUCAGUUUUAAAUUAAGUGUUAAUUUUUUUUGUUCUUUCAAAAUUAUGUCUGCUUUUUAACAUUUAUUUUUAUGUUAAUGUAUUACAUAAUAUUUUCAAAAGUUUAUGAAUUAUUUUAAAAAUUUAAAAUAAUUUUUUUAAUUACUUUAAAUAAAAAUUUUCUAUUUUUAUUUUAAGUCAAAAAAAUACAUAUGAUUAACAAUUGAUUUACUACCAUUAAUUUUAUUUUUUUGCUCUUUAAGUAAAGAGAUUAUGCACCAACCAAUAAAUCAAAUAUUUGAUUAUUUUACUAUUAUUAGUUAAAGCAUUACUUGUCAUUUUAUAUCAUAUGAUACAUUAAUAUAUCACGUCAUUAUAUAAUAUGGCAUGUCGAUAUGUCAUGUCAUGUCAUUAUCACGUAAUGUUUUGAAUAUAAUUAAUUAUAAAAAUUUAUAUAAUACAAAAUAAAAGGCAAAUGAGUUUAUUAAAUAUAAUAAAAUAAAUAAAUUUAUUUUUUUAUAAUAAUUCAAAAAAGCUUUUUAAUAUUAUAAAAAAUUUUAAAUUAAAUAUAAAACAUUUGAAAACGUUUGUUUUCUUUUAUUGUAAUAUUUGAAUAUUUAUUUUCUUCAUUACAAAAAUCCUUGUAAACUUAUUCAUUGAUUUUUACGGUAUACUCCUAUCAUUUUAAAACUACUAACAUACUUAAUAUCAAAUUUUAGAACUAACAGCAAUAGCUACUCUCAUGGGUUCAUUUUAAGUAGUAUAAAAAUAGCAUGAAUUUGGUAAAAAUAUUAUAAUAAUAAAAAAUGAAAAGAUAAAAAACAUAAAAUAUCCUUACUUUUAAUUUUAAUCAUAAUUCUUUGCGAAUCUUUUAAUUUUUAAAAUAAAUAAUUUGCUUCAAAAGAAUAUUUUUUGCUGGACACAUAUAUUUUUAUUAAUUUGAUAAUAUAAUAAUAUUAAAAAGAUAAUUUUACUUUUUAUCAAUUUUAAAAAUUAUUAUAUUAUAUAAAUUAUAUUUUUUUUUUUGGAAAAAAAAAUCUAAACUUGACCAGAGCUAGAUCUCCCCCUCCCCCGGAGGGAGCACCAAAUCGGUGGAACCCCAUCGUGGGUGCUCUUGGGGGACCACCAUCCAUAUGUUCCCAAGGAACACAGAUCUUGGAAGCACUAGGUCUGGUGCUCCUUGAAAAAUUUGACUGGAUUCGAUCACUGCUCGAUAAAAAAAUAAAAAAUAAAAAUAUUUUAAAUAUUAAUUUAAAUUUUAAUAUCAUUUAGUUAUUUGAUAUGUAGUAUUUAUUUUAUAAAUUAAUAAAUUUAUGUGUAAUUAUAAUUAAAAGUUAAGAGUGAUAAGAGUAUUUUAUAAAAAAAAAAAACAGCCGAAGAACUAUUGGACCAAAUGAUAGGGUCUUGGGUUGGCCCAAAUCUUAGAAUUAAUUUACUUAACCUUUCCCAAAUAGACUAAUAAUUGCCCAAAGCAGGAAAACGAGCAAAGCGAGAAAACCGAAGCAAAACACUAGUUAGUGCAAGUAGCAAACAGCAGCUCACUGUUAAAACGCCACUUCAAGAUCUACUCGCAAAGGAAUUGAAGAUUUCCAAAUCUCCCCAGGUAAAUGUUGUCUUUUUUUACUCAAAUUUCUAUUUCCUAUUUUAUUUCUUUGCUCAACUGAUCUGAAAAUUGCUUUUAUUUCCUUUUCAAUUACGCAUUGCGUGGGCCUAUUUGUCUUUUGCUUUUACUUCAAAUCUUGUUCAAAAUUUGCAGUUUUCCAUCUGGCUUUUGUUCUUUCUUAUAUGUUUAUAAGGAGGGGUGGGAGUGAAAGAGAGGGAGAGAGAGAAACCAUGUCUAAUUCCGUUCAAGUUCCUUAUAGAUCCCUGGCAUAGUUUCCAAACCAACGAAUCUGUUUAGUAAUUGGGGGAGUUAUGAAAAUUGAAGAAGAAUAGAAUUACAGAAAUGCUCCCAAGAAAGAAAUGGCAACAAAUGCUGCAAUCAACAAGACCAAGCAUAACACUUAGCAGGGAGUUUCAACAUAAACAAAUGUUGAGAAGAUAACCCCCUCCCCAACAAAUAUAUUACACCCAAAAAGUUAAAAACAAGCAAGGGAGAGAGUAUUUCGUGCCAUCAGUUCGUACCCUAGGUCUUGAAAGCCACAUUUUCCUCCAUGAACCUUCAUCUUUUGACUGCAAAAUCUUAUAAUUCUCCACUACUCCAGAGAGCUUCAUAAAAGAUGCAGCAGUUUUAAAGCUUCAGUAAUUUACACACAACAGCCUAAUAAAAGGUUCAUUAGCAAUGCCAAAUUUACCUACCAAGCCUUUAAGCAUGCACUCCGCCAAAAUACAGGGUUACGAAUUGAGUACCUCCACUUUUGACAAACACAUGAUGCCCUU